AUAAAAUCUAAAUUUUAAGUGAUCUAAAAUGUUCAUGACUAACGAGUAUUUUCACUUGUACGAUUUUUCUGUGAAAUGAGUCUAAGAGUAUAUACAUGUAUAUCAGGAUACUGACUGCAUAGUAAAAUAUUUAUGUACCAUUAGUUGCGACUCAUUUUGGUCUUUUAAGUAAGUUUCCUUCCCCUGCAUUACUUGAUCGCUUUUGUAAAAAAUAAACAGCACAACAACAACAGCACUCGACGUCAGUAUUGUACCAAAAAAUGAAAAAAAUAUUCAAAAAGAAGGCUCAUAAAAUUCAAAUAUUGGACAAGAACUAUAGAAGAUGCAGAGAAAUUAUAAACAGCAGAAAUGAUAGGCAAUUUAAAAUUUGCAGAAGUCAACAAAACCUAAAUGGUGAUCAGACAUCUUGGUUUUCAUGAUCAAUAGGUCAAUACUGAAGAGGAAACUGAAAUUUGAUAUCUAUCUACAUGGUGCGCUAAUUGGAUUAAUGUGAAAUGGAAUGUGUGCUUUCCUGCAAAAAAGAAAUAGGAAAUUUCAUCAUAAUCACAUGAUAAUGGCUAUAAACAAAAUGGAGUUCUAUCAUAGAUGCAGAAAAACACAAUUGUAUAAAUGCAACAACAUA